AUACGGAGGAUGCGAGCGUUAUCCGGAUUUAUUGGGUUUAAAGGGAGCGUAGGUGGGAUAUUAAGUCAGCUGUGAAAGUUUGGGGCUCAACCUUAAAAUUGCAGUUGAUACUGGUUUCCUUGAGUACGGUACAGGUGGGCGGAAUUCGUGGUGUAGCGGUGAAAUGCUUAGAUAUCACGAAGAACUCCGAUCGCGAAGGCAGCUCACCGGGCCGGAACUGACACUGAUGCUCGAAAGUGCGGGUAUCAAACAGGAUUAGAUACCCUGGUAGUCCGCACAGUAAACGAUGAAUACUCGCUGUUUGCGAUACACGGUAAGCGGCCAAGCGAAAGCGUUAAGUAUUCCACCUGGGGAGUACGCCGGCAACGGUGAAACUCAAAUGAAUUGACGGGG
rnacentral:rRNA from 1 species